UACCACUAAUAUCAAGCUACUAUCCAAC
rnacentral:sRNA from 1 species